rnacentral:rRNA from 1 species
GAUGAACGCUAGCGGGAGGCCUAACACAUGCCAGCCGAGCGGUAGAGUUUCUUCGGAAACUUGAGAGCGGCGCACGGGUGCGUAACACGUGUGCAACCUACCUUUAUCUGGGGGAUAGCCUUUCGAAAGGAAGAUUAAUACCCCAUAAUAUAAUGAUUGGCAUCAAUUAUUAUUGAAAACUCCGGUGGAUAGAGAUGGGCACGCGCAAGAUUAGAUAGUUGGUGAGGUAACGGCUCACCAAGUCAAUGAUCUUUAGGGGUCCUGAGAGGGAGAUCCCCCACACUGGUACUGAGACACGGACCAGACUCCUACGGGAGGCAGCAGUGAGGAAUAUUGGACAAUGGGUGAGAGCCUGAUCCAGCCAUCCCGCGUGAAGGAUGACGGUCCUAUGGAUUGUAAACUUCUUUUGUACAGGGAUAAACCUACCCUCGUGAGGGUAGCUGAAGGUACUGUACGAAUAAGCACCGGCUAACUCCGUG